GAUGAACGCUGGCGGCGUGCCUAAUACAUGCAAGUCGAGCGAACGGACGAGAAGCUUGCUUCUCUGAUGUUAGCGGCGGACGGGUGAGUAACACGUGGAUAACCUACCUAUAAGACUGGGAUAACUUCGGGAAACCGGAGCUAAUACCGGAUAAUAUUUUGAACCGCAUGGUUCAAAAGUGAAAGACGGUCUUGCUGUCACUUAUAGAUGGAUCCGCGCUGCAUUAGCUAGUUGGUAAGGUAACGGCUUACCAAGGCAACGAUGCAUAGCCGACCUGAGAGGGUGAUCGGCCACCCUGGAACUGAGACACGGUCCAGACUCCUACGGGAGGCAGCAGUAGGGAAUCUUCCGCAAAGGGCGAAAGCCUGACGGAGCAACGCCGCGUGAGUGAUGAAGGUCUUCGGAUCGUAAAACUCUGUUAUUAGGGAAGAACAUAUGUGUAAGUAUCUGUGCACAUCUUGACGGUACCUAAACAGAAAGCCACGGCUAACUACGUG
rnacentral:rRNA from 1 species